AUUUAAUGAGGGCUCCACUUUCCCCGCAGCAGGCGUGUGCUGCUGUUACUGGUCUUUGCCACUUUGAUUGAGACAGACGGACUGGGGAUUUCUCCAUCACUGUUGCACAUAAGAAGAGUGGUGAUAGGAAGAGUGGACACAGCAGUGUUCAUACCAGGCACUGUCCUGGAGCCAGUGAUGCCAGAGGGAGCAAGCCUCCUACCCUACAAAACUCAUCUCCUGUGACCUUCUAGCCUGAGUCAAGCUGGGAUCGUCAUUGCUCUGUGUGGGCAAGGUUACAUCACAGCUUGGCAGGGUCUGCGGUGCAGGAGAUGGAAGAAGAGAAGACGGCAGCAAUAAAGCAAUUUCUACUGGUUAAAUAGCUUCCUGCCACUGCCUAGGAAUAAGUCAGUGGCCAAAUAAGGGAAUGGACCUUGAAGGAGGGUCGUCGUAAUGCAAUCUAAUGUUUUAGCAAGGGAAAGAAGAGGUCAUGAGGAAUCAAGUUCUACCUCUGGUAAAAAGCCUCUUGCUCCCAGAAGAAAGUCAAGUAGGAACAUACACCUUUGAAUGACAUCUCGCCAUUUACUGAAGUUAUCAUCAUCAGAUCUGUGCUACCUACCCAUUAAAACUUGUCUGGACAUUUUUAAACCUCAA
rnacentral:lncRNA from 1 species